CCCGCGGGGCUCCGGGCGGCCGUGACCCUGCUGGAGUCCGGGGGGGACCUCCAGCCCCCCGGGGGGUCCCUGCGCCUCCUCUGCCGCGCCUCCGGCUUCGAUUUCGGCAGUUUCGGCAUGUACUGGGUGCGCCAGAGGCCCGGGCAGGCGCUGGAGUGGGUCGCAGAUAUCAACACCGGUGGCAGCCCCUGGUACGCGCCGUCGGUCGAGGGCCGGGCGACGAUCUCCAGGGCCAACGGGCAGAGCUCGGUGACGCUGACCAUGAACGGCCUCAAGGACGAGGAUUCCGGCUCCUAUUUCUGUGCCAAAUCCGUUGAUGCCAAUGCUUACGCUGAUGGUUCCCCGUUGUCCUUUUGGCCCUGUCCCCGUGUCCCAGACCCUUCCCCCAGACCCCACCCCUGA